rnacentral:rRNA from 1 species
GAUGAACGCUGGCGGCGUGCCUAAUACAUGCAAGUCGAGCGAACGGACGAGAAGCUUGCUUCUCUGAUGUUAGCGGCGGACGGGUGAGUAACACGUGGAUAACCUACCUAUAAGACUGGGAUAACUUCGGGAAACCGGAGCUAAUACCGGAUAAUAUUUUGAACCGCAUGGUUCAAAAGUGAAAGACGGUCUUGCUGUCACUUAUAGAUGGAUCCGCGCUGCAUUAGCUAGUUGGUAAGGUAACGGCUUACCAAGGCAACGAUGCAUAGCCGACCUGAGAGGGUGAUCGGCCACACUGGAACUGAGACACGGUCCAGACUCCUACGGGAGGCAGCAGUAGGGAAUCUUCCGCAAUGGGCGAAAGCCUGACGGAGCAACGCCGCGUGAGUGAUGAAGGUCUUCGGAUCGUAAAACUCUGUUAUUAGGGAAGAACAUAUGUGUAAGUAACUGUGCACAUCUUGACGGUACCUAAUCAGAAAGCCACGGCUAACUACGUGCCAGCAGCCGCGGUAAUACGUAGGUGGCAAGCGUUAUCCGGAAUUAUUGGGCGUAAAGCGCGCGUAGGCGGUUUUUUAAGUCUGAUGUGAAAGCCCACGGCUCAACCGUGGAGGGUCAUUGGAAACUGGAAAACUUGAGUGCAGAAGAGGAAAGUGGAAUUCCAUGUGUAGCGGUGAAAUGCGCAGAGAUAUGGAGGAACACCAGUGGCGAAGGCGACUUUCUGGUCUGUAACUGACGCUGAUGUGCGAAAGCGUGGGGAUCAAACAGGAUUAGAUACCCUGGUAGUCCACGCCGUAAACGAUGAGUGCUAAGUGUUAGGGGGUUUCCGCCCCUUAGUGCUGCAGCUAACGCAUUAAGCACUCCGCCUGGGGAGUGCGACCGCAAGGUCGAAACUCAAAGGAAUUGACGGGGACCCGCACAAGCGGUGGAGCAUGUGGUUUAAUUCGAAGCAACGCGAAGAACCUUACCAAAUCUUGACAUCCUUUGACAACUCUAGAGAUAGAGCUUUCCCCUUCGGGGGACAAAGUGACAGGUGGUGCAUGGUUGUCGUCAGCUCGUGUCGUGAGAUGUUGGGUUAAGUCCCGCAACGAGCGCAACCCUUAAGCUUAGUUGCCAUCAUUAAGUUGGGCACUCUAAGUUGACUGCCGGUGACAAACCGGAGGAAGGUGGGGAUGACGUCAAAUCAUCAUGCCCCUUAUGAUUUGGGCUACACACGUGCUACAAUGGACAAUACAAAGGGCAGCGAAACCGUGAGGUCAAGCAAAUCCCAUAAAGUUGUUCUCAGUUCGGAUUGUAGUCUGCAACUCGACUACAUGAAGCUGGAAUCGCUAGUAAUCGUAGAUCAGCAUGCUACGGUGAAUACGUUCCCGGGUCU